GAUGAACGCUAGCGGGAGGCCUAACACAUGCAAGCCGAGCGGUAGAGUCUCUUCGGAGACUUGGGAGCGGCGCACGGGUGCGGAACACGUGUGCAACCUGCCUUUAUCUGGGGGAUAGCCUUUCGAAGGGAAGAUUAAUACCCCAUAAUAUACUGGAUGGCAUCAUCUGGUAUUGAAAACUCCGGUGGAUAGAGAUGGGCACGCGCAAGAUUAGAUAGUUGGUGAGGUAACGGCUCACCAAGUCAGCGAUCUUUAGGGGGCCUGAGAGGGUGAUCCCCCACACUGGUACUGAGACACGGACCAGACUCCUACGGGAGGCAGCAGUGAGGAAUAUUGGACAAUGGGUGAGAGCCUGAUCCAGCCAUCCCGCGUGAAGGACGACGGCCCUAUGGGUUGUAAACUUCUUUUGUAUAGGGAUAAACCUAGAUACGUGUAUCUAGCUGAAGGUACUAUACGAAUAAGCACCGGCUAACUCCGUG
rnacentral:rRNA from 1 species